rnacentral:misc_RNA from 1 species
AAAGUCGUAACAAGGUUUCCGUAGGUGAACCUGCGGAAGGAUCAUUAAUGAAUAAACUUGGUUGGGUUGUUGCUGGCUCCUCGGAGCAUGUGCACGCUCGCUCCAUUUUUAACCACCUGUGCACCUUGUGUAGAUCUGAACAACUCUCGGGGAAACUCGGUCAGAGGAUUGCUGUGUGUAAAAGCCAGCUUUUCUUGGGUUCAGAUCUAUGUCUCUAUAUACACCAUAAGAAUGUAUCGGAAUGUAAUUGAUAGGCGUUACAGCCUUUAAAAUCAAAUACAACUUUCAACAACGGAUCUCUUGGCUCUC